UACAGAGGGUGCAAGCGUUGCUCGGAUUUACUGGGCGUAAAGCGUACGCAGACGGCCACGCAGGUCGGGUGUGAAAGCCCAGGGCUCAACCCUGGAACAGCAUUCGAAACCAUGUGGCUCGAGGAUGAGAGAGGAGAGCGGAAUUCCCGGUGUAGAGGUGAAAUUCGUAGAUAUCGGGAGGAACACCAGUGGCGAAAGCGGCUCUCUGGCUCAUUUCUGACGUUCAGGUACGAAAGCGUGGGGAGCAAACAGG
rnacentral:rRNA from 1 species